AUGGUUGCGUUGGAUACAAUUGAUAAAGCCAGUCAGUCAGUGGUGGAUGUCCAUACAGCCACACAGCUAUAUAACGUACCGGAACUCAGACCCGAACGCUGUUUUUGCAGGCGUCGGGACCCGAACGACUUCCAGCUUGACGCAGUUUCCGGUCUUUUCGCGGUACUUCCCGGCACACGAUCGCCAUCUAACCUCAUGGAACAAACAAAGCAAGCAAGCAGCAGACAGCACACAAAGAACAAUCUGGCAACGAAUCAAUCGCGAGGAGCAGUAUAUGAACCGGCUUGAUUGGUGAUCAGGAGGCUGGCUGAUAAGGAUGCUUGGCUGACUGGCAGAGUGGAACAGUACUGAGCUGGCUGAGGUGAACAGGUGAGGAGGAGGGCAGACUGUAACAAAAGGUGUGCUUGCAGAUUAAGUGAGAAUCAAUGGAGUUUCUUACUUGUUGUACAAUUUAGAACAUUAAUAUAGCAGCAAACAACUAUUUGCUAUUUAAUGCAACAGCUGUUUUUCUCAAGGAUUUGUUUCUACCAAACCAGAGAUGAUCAUCAGAGAUUGUUGGAACAGUGGAAAAACUAAAACACAGUUUUGAUGAGCUUUAUCUUGUUUUGUAACUUUGAAUGAAGUUACCAUUAUCUUUGAGGUUAUGUUACCGUUUUUGUCUAUGGUGGCAAACAACAGCAAUAUUGUGGCUGUUUCUGGUUAAACAAAAGGUCUAUCUCUGUAUGACAGACACUUAGAAUAACAGUCAGAGCCUGUCAGUGGCAACUUUUAGUGGACGUGUUCGGAAGGGCACAUUUGUCCCCAAUGAUUAGCUAAUGUUAGGUACACGUAUUUGUUAAUUGUAUAUGUAAAUGUAUAGUAGUUUUGACCAAACCAGACAUGCUGUUGUAGUCAUAAAGACGAAACAAAGACUUUAUUGAAGAGUGUGGUUUAUGAUCUGCAAGGUAAAAUCUGUGUUUUUGUCAAUAGAUUCUGAUGAGUCAUUUGGUCUGGUCUGCUGUGCUCUAGUGCGACAUCGACUCUGAAUGUCUGAAAGUCGUGUACAGCACCUGUUGAACCUGGUCUUAGUCUAUAUUUUUGUUAUUUUAAAAAAAUCAACAAAAAAAGACUAAAACCAACAAUUUCUUUAAAACAUUUUUGUCCCUUAUUUAACACCAUAACAGAAAGGGAGAUUGUGACCAUAUUUCACAGUUGGUCGG
rnacentral:lncRNA from 1 species